GCAUAUCAAAUAAGCGGAGGAAAAGAAACCAACAGGGAUUGCCUUAGUAACGGCGAGUGAAGCGGCAAAAGCUCAAAUUUGAAAUCUGGCACCUUCGGUGUCCGAGUUGUAAUUUGAAGAAGGUAACUUUGGAGUUGGCUCUUGUCUAUGUUCCUUGGAACAGGACGUCACAGAGGGUGAGAAUCCCGUGCGAUGAGAUGCCCAAUUCUAUGUAAAGUGCUUUCGAAGAGUCGAGUUGUUUGGGAAUGCAGCUCUAAGUGGGUGGUAAAUUCCAUCUAAAGCUAAAUAUUGGCGAGAGACCGAUAGCGAACAAGUACAGUGAUGGAAAGAUGAAAAGAACUUUGAAAAGAGAGUGAAAAAGUACGUGAAAUUGUUGAAAGGGAAGGGCUUGAGAUCAGACUUGGUAUUUUGCGAUCCUUUCCUUCUUGGUUGGGUUCCUCGCAGCUUACUGGGCCAGCAUCGGUUUGGAUGGUAGGAUAAUGACUAAGGAAUGUGGCUCUACUUCGGUGGAGUGUUAUAGCCUUGGUUGAUACUGCCUGUCUAGACCGAGGACUGCGUCUUUUGACUAGGAUGUUGGCAUAAUGAUCUUAAGCCACCCGUCUUGAAACCACGGACCA
rnacentral:rRNA from 1 species